UGUAGAUCGCCUCGUGGUUAUUUUUAUUGUUUUAAAGAUAAUAACCAGAACUGCAGGAGGAUCUCUGUGACUCCCGGUCAGCCUGAGGGACAUAGUGAGACUUUGUUUUAAAGAGGUUAGAACCACGUUGGUUCUUGUAUUUGGAAGGUUUGUUUGAGGGCCUGAAGACUGCUAAGCAGCUAAAAGCACUUGCUGUUCUUCCUGAGGGCUGGACUUCUGUUCCCAACAUCCACAAGGCGGCUCACAGCCACCUGAAAUUUCAGUUCCCCCCUCCUGGCCUCCACCGGCCCUGCACAUGCAUGCGCGCAGGCAUGAGGCAAAACACCCGCACAUACAUACAUACUGGGUUAGCAGCAAACUUAAGCAACUUUUCUCGAAGGAAGAGAGACCUGCCCUGGUCAUUUGAGGAAUAGGAUGGAUGCGGUAUUGUGGACUCUGCUCAGGCUGAGCGGCAGGCAGAUCACAGUCCAUCACUCAGGGGAAGUUAAAGCAGCAACUUAAGCCACUGACAUGUCACAUCUACAGUCUGGAACAGAGAGAGACGAAUGCCCUCAUGCCACCCACCAGCUCUUCGAGCUUUCUUUUAUCUUGCUGUAUUCAGAACCCCAUGCCUGCAGAAUGGUGCUGCCAAUUACCAGCCGGGGCUUUGGACAUUAGUGAUCAAGACGAUCCCUCUUGUAGGCGUGCUCACAGGCCAGCCUGAUGAAAUAAUUUCUCCACUGAAAAGCUCUCUUCUCAGGUAGUUACAGAUGAUGCCAAGUUGGCGUUUAAAGCCAACCAUCACACUAGGCAAGUAUUCUACCAACUGUAUGACACCCUGAGGCCCUGACUGAAUUUUGCAGGAGCAAAAUCAGAUGAACAUAUCUCCCUUGUGACAGGCCAACUGUUGGAACCAACAGUCCCCCAUAUUGGCAAGGACAUGGCUAUCCCAGGUCAGGAAACCUUGCUUUGAAAGGGGAAAACUAAACUCAAAGGCUUCACUUCUAAUAAUUUAGAAAUAAAGGGACCAGACUCUCAUUAAGUCCCUGAAUAGCAUCCAUGACAGGCUAUAGAAAAGACAUGUAGGCCUCUAGCACAAGAAAACUACAGAUCCUCUGGCCUCCCAGAGCCUAAGGCCAAAACCGAACACAAAGAAACUCCAUACUGCCCAUCCACCUCCCAGCCUCCUAGGUACUUGGUUCCUGGGAACUAUUUGGCCACAAAAGACACUCCAGGGGAGACCAAAACCUCCCCUAUAAUCUCCACGAUACAGUUCUGAAAACUAUUGGUAUCUGUGAACAACAGACCACCUGCAAGUAACAAGACAAAGCCAUAGAGACCACAGGAUGUUCCCUCUCAGCACUGACCAAUGGGAAUAAUUGGUACAUAGGUAUUUCAUGUCAAAGUAUGACAUUGAGAAAUUUCUUGAUUGUUCCCCAAAUGUCAACCAAUCAAAAACCAACUCAUACCUACUGAUGUAAUCCUGUAACUUUUGUCUUUUUUUUUUUUUUUUUUUUUUUUUUUUUUUGGUUUUUCAAGACAGGGUUUCUCUGUGCCUUUGGAGGCUGUCCUGGAACUAGCUCUUGUAGACCAGCUGGUCUCAAACUCACAGAGAUCCUCCUGCCUCUGCCUCCUCAGUGCUGGGAUUAAAGGCUUGUGCCACCAGGCCCCGCUAACUUUUGUCUUUAAAACCUAGCAGUAGAUAGGGAACUUCACCCCCUCUGGAGGCUGCUGUGUCAGCUUGCUAGAUAGGGUCCCUCUCGAAGUGUAGGAUAAACAAUUUAAUAAACCUUAUGCAUUUGUAUCGGU
ensembl:lncRNA